rnacentral:piRNA from 1 species
UGGGCAAAUGGGUCAAAGGAGGCGC